rnacentral:rRNA from 1 species
GAUAACGGCGUCGAGCGGCGGACGGGUGAGUAAUGCCUAGGAAAUUGCCCUGGUGUGGGGGAUAACCAUUGGAAACGAUGGCUAAUACCGCAUAAUACCUUCGGGUCAAAGAGGGGGACCUUCGGGCCUCUCGCGUCAGGAUAUGCCUAGGUGGGAUUAGCUAGUUGGUGAGGUAAUGGCUCACCAAGGCGACGAUCCCUAGCUGGUCUGAGAGGAUGAUCAGCCACACUGGAACUGAGACACGGUCCAGACUCCUACGGGAGGCAGCAGUGGGGAAUAUUGCACAAUGGGCGCAAGCCUGAUGCAGCCAUGCCGCGUGUGUGAAGAAGGCCUUCGGGUUGUAAAGCACUUUCAGUCGUGAGGAAGGUGGUGGUGUUAAUAGCUCUAUCAUUUGACGUUAGCGACAGAAGAAGCACCGGCUAACUCCGUGCCAGCAGCCGCGGUAAUACGGAGGGUGCGAGCGUUAAUCGGAAUUACUGGGCGUAAAGCGCAUGCAGGUGGUUUGUUAAGUCAGAUGUGAAAGCCCGGGGCUCAACCUCGGAAUAGCAUUUGAAACUGGCAGACUAGAGUACUGUAGAGGGGGGUAGAAUUUCAGGUGUAGCGGUGAAAUGCGUAGAGAUCUGAAGGAAUACCGGUGGCGAAGGCGGCCCCCUGGACAGAUACUGACACUCA